rnacentral:tRNA from 1 species
ACUAAUUUGGCAGAUUAAUUGUAUCAAAUUUAGAAUUUGAAGAUAGUAUAAACUAAUUAGUA